rnacentral:rRNA from 1 species
CCAUUUAAAGUGGUACGCGAGCUGGGUUUAGAACGUCGUGAGACAGUUCGGUCCCUAUCUGCCGUGGGCGCUGGAGAACUGAGGGGGGCUGCUCCUAGUACGAGAGGACCGGAGUGGACGCAUCACUGGUGUUCGGGUUGUCAUGCCAAUGGCACUGCCCGGUAGCUAAAUGCGGAAGAGAUAAGUGCUGAAAGCAUCUAAGCACGAAACUUGCCCCGAGAUGAGUUCUCCCUGAGACUUAGAGUCUCCUGAAGGAACGUUGAAGACGACGACGUUGAUAGGCCGGGUGUGUAAGCGCAGCGAUGCGUUGAGCUAACCGGUACUAAUGAACCGUGAGGCUUAACCUUACA